rnacentral:rRNA from 1 species
AUUGAACGCUGGCGGCAUGCCUUACACAUGCAAGUCGAACGGCAGCACGGGAGCAAUCCUGGUGGCGAGUGGCGAACGGGUGAGUAAUAUAUCGGAACGUGCCCAGUCGUGGGGAUAACGCAGCGAAAGCUGUGCUAAUACCGCAUACGAUCUAAGGAUGAAAGCGGGGGACUCGCAAGAGCCUCGCGCGAUUGGAGCGGCCGAUAUCAGAUUAGCUAGUUGGUGAGGUAAAGGCUCACCAAGGCGACGAUCUGUAGCUGGUCUGAGAGGACGACCGGCCACACUGGGACUGAGACACGGCCCAGACUCCUACGGGAGGCAGCAGUGGGGAAUUUUGGACAAUGGGCGCAAGCCUGAUCCAGCAAUGCCGCGUGCAGGAUGAAGGCCUCGGUUGG